GGUCCUUACAAUCAGCAGGGAAGGGAAGGGAAGAUAGAAGUAGGACAAAUCCACCCGUUUCUGGGCAUUACCAGCGGCGGUGCGUGAACCCACUAUUCAGGCAACCCAAAGGCUUCACAGCACUACUCCAGUUGACUUGGGGCUUCUGGCACUGUUUAUAAUUUUAAUUUGGAGCCUUUUUUGUAAAUUUAAA